AUUGCCCUAGGUUGUGAAGCAACCUAUAUUUCUGUCACUCCUAAAAUUCCCAAAUAAUUCUCAUAAAUUUUUUGGGUCAUAUAUUCCUCAAAUGUGGCAAAAUAUUUCAUUUGCCAUGUAUAUCAUCAUGUUCAAAUAAUUCAUUUCCUAUUCUGUCCUAAAUGGCAGAUUGUGAAGCAAGUGCCAUUUAUCUUUGCCCAAUUGACUCCAAACUUCUUGGACAUAUUUUCAUGUCCAAAUAAUUUCCUCAUGACAAAUUUCAACUUAAUUUGCCUAGUAAAUAUUCCUGAGCAAUUUUUCAAAGUUCCUCUCUGAGGGAAUUGGUUGUGAAGGAAGUACUAGCUAGGUUAAUCCAAUUGAGUUGAAUUUUUGCAUGGUCUUUCAUUUUAUCAAAUCAAAGCUCUCCACAAGAUUUGAGCUCAUGCAAUGCAUCCAUGUGAGCUGAGCAUCAAUUCUUUGGUUCUGUCCAAAUUUUCAGUUAAUGAAGCAAGUAUAUUUUAUCUUGCUCCAUUAUGGCUGUAAAUUUUCCUAGGCCUUCUCUUAUCCAUAUAACCUAUCUCCACCCAAUUUGGGUAUAUUUUAUCUAGCCAUUGUCCCUCUAGAAUUUUUGCAAGUUUCUGGUCAGUGGAAAUGUUUGUGAAGGAAGUACCAUUUUGGUUUAUCCAAUUGGUAUGAAACCUUUUGCAACAUCUUCAUAUGGCCAAAUAACCCUGCCUUGCCAAAUUUCAGCUCAAGUGGCUUCUCCAUUUGAGAGCAUCAUCAUGAUCUUCAUUCUGGACCAGAUUACUUAGUUGUAAAGCAACUAUAUUAAUUAGUGGUCCAAAUACCUCCAAACUUCACAGGAUUCUUGUCCUUCCUAUCAUAAACACACCAGACAACUCGUUUGGCUCAAAGCUCUUCGCUGUUGAUCACUGUAACUUGAUUUGGUUUGAUACAGCAAACUUCAGAGGAAAAGUCCAAUCGAUCCAGUGCACCUCUUCUUGAUCUAUCGCUUUCCACAGCCUCAGUGAUGCAAGGACUCAUCACCAGACAUCUCGCUGCAGCCUCUGGCGUCCCCUCCUUGCCGGUCACAGUGGUGACCGCGUCGUUUGCACGCGCUCUGGCAGCAAUGGUCAUGUCCAGAGCGUUGUUUUUCUUCGGGCCCCUUCUCCUCUCGUCGUCUUCGCGCGCGUGAGCGUGUCUAACAGCUAGCACGCGUUGUUGCCGUCCCUCUGGAGCGCUUUCCCCCUCCGUUUGCUUCCCGGGCGACCCGUCCCCGUCGAGAAACAGAGCGCGUCCACGGACGCACAGUGCCGACAAGGCAUUAAUGGCGCCAUGGCUUCUUCCUCUCUUGUCCCCGAGCUCUCCUCGACUCCGUGAACCCCUUUGGACCUUUCCCUCGUCGCCGCCCGAGCUUGGCCGCGAGCACACGCGUCCGCGGCGCCGGACACGCGUCCGCGGAGCCGCCAGCUCGCCUCCCCCUCCCCUCGGCUAUAUAAGCCAACCCCGAGGUGCCCCGACCUCACCAGCGGCCUCACCUCACUCCCAGACCCCUCCCUAGUUAGUCUCCCGAGCCCCGGAGCCCCUCCUCGCCGCAGUAGGCCGCCAUGGCCGCCGCACGGCCUCGGCUAAAUUCGACCGACCCAAGCCCUUCCCCUCCUCCUGGCCGCCACCAGAGCAACUCCCAUAGUCCAUCCAAGCCCCUCCGCUCUUCUCCUACUCCUCCGGUGGCUGCUGGCCGCGAGCCCCGCCGGCGUCCGACGCCUCUGUCCGCCGCGGCCGACGCCCCGCCCGUUCCUGUGGUCUCCGGCGUCUGUGGCAUGGCCCAUCCGACGCGGCUCCAUCUUCCGAGCAAGCCGGUGGUCCGAGCGCCGCGUAUGGUGGCCCGUAGCGCCGGCAGUCAUCGCCGGAGCGCUCGGCCUCCGGCCUCCUCUGCGCGGCGUCGGGAUGAAAGGAGGAAGAAGGAGGGAGGAGAGAGAGAGGUGCGCGGGCCCCACCAGUCAGCCUUACAGGAGCAGGCCCCGCGUUGACCCACGGGAGAUAACGUGGAUAAGUGGCCGCUCAUUUCUUAUAAUACGCUUUCUCCAAUCGAAAGCGUAUUUCGGGCUGCUUCAACAAGAAUUUGCAGGUCAUGCCGGAUAUGAUUGCUUAUUUGCCGUGGAUCCCUUGUUUGCGUGCUAGGAUAAGCGUUCCAGCCAGAGUCCCUGCGGAGUGGAGUUCAUCACCGCCGUCGUUGUUCCGCUGCCAGUAGUCAUUCCGCUGCGUCAAGUUGUUCUGCUGUUUACAUAGAACAACCGUGGCAGAAGUAGUGUCGCCGUGCCGAUGUAAUCCCCUUGUACCCAAUAUAGCUUGCAAUAAAGAGCCGGUUUGUUCUA